AUGAUUCUUCGUUGACCCCCAGAUCAGAGGCCAACGAAGAAUCUUAAGUUUUAAAUAUAGGGUAAAAGUACCGAAUAUGAGUCCAUUCCCUUAUAUGAGACCCCAGUCUAUUUGGCCCCAUAGAUGCUGGUAUCUAACGGUAAGCAUUAUAACUUGUAGCAAUCACCAUUUUAGGUAUUCGGAGUGUGUAAGAAGAACCUGCCCAGACCAAGCGUGUUUCUGUUCCUUUUUAAGUGUUUUUCAGCUUUUGGAGUUUUUGAAGCGUAUAGGAUCACGUCGAUAUUCCAUAACAAAGAUAAGAUAUCUUUCUUUAAGUUUAAAACUAUUGGGUAGUGGAAGGAACAAAGAAAUUAGUAAGUAGGCUGAACGUCAUUGUAUGCUUAAUCUAGCCUGAUACAAGGUGGCUUUUCUUGUAGUAUCUAAAGUGCCUAAUACGAGACCCUCAAUGGAUCCUAAUAUGAUACAGGGUCUCAUAUUCGGAUCGCAUUUAUUUUAAUUUAUGGUUGUUUUAGAAAUUGAAAAAUAAAACCUAAAAUGAUAUGUUCACAAAUUGCAUUUAUUAAAAAAACCCAAAUUAUGUUAAUUUAUGUAAUAAGGCUGACUUUUCUACAUUGGUUCUUCCUGAAUAUUGUUCACAUAGAUAUUUCCACCACAAAGAAGAUGGAAGACGUGGGAUACUGUUCUGAUGAUUCGUGCAGUUCAGUUAGUACGAAGCGGAGAAAUGGGCUACAAGAGAGCAGCAAAACAUUUGCAGGUACCUAAGGGAAUGCUUGAGAAUUAUGUUAAAGACACCACUAAAUCUCCAGAUUCUCUAGUCCUAGUAAACCUAGGCAGAAAGCCAGAACUGGAAAAUAUGCU
rnacentral:lncRNA from 1 species